rnacentral:snoRNA from 1 species
AUCCUUUUGUAGUUCACGUGCAUGUGUGAAUUGUGCCUCCCUCAAACCUUGUUACAACGUCAGCACGUUACCCACCUAUA